ACAUGAGGCUCACUUAGAGCCUCGCUAACCUGGGGAGGUUAGGUAUCCAUCUGGGUAGCGGUAGCUCCGCCCCUCUGGCGAGACGGCGACCAGAGACCGGGUUGUCAGACCCGGUCGGGACCGUCUC
rnacentral:ncRNA from 1 species